UACAGAGGGUGCAAGCGUUGUUCGGAAUUAUUGGGCGUAAAGCGCGUGUAGGCGGCCUUGCAAGUCGGGUGUGAAAGCCCUCAGCUUAACUGAGGAAGUGCGCCCGAAACUGCUUGGCUUGAGUACCGGAGAGGAUGGUGGAAUUCCCCAAGUAGAGGUGAAAUUCGUAGAUAUGGGGAGGAACACCGGUGGCGAAGGCGACCAUCUGGACGGAUACUGACGCUGAGACGCGAAAGCGUGGGUAGCAAAC
rnacentral:rRNA from 1 species